AGCGAACGCUGGCGGCAGGCUUAACACAUGCAAGUCGAGCGGGCACUUUCGGGUGUCAGCGGCGGACGGGUGAGUAACGCGUGGGAACGUGCCCUCUGGUUCGGAAUAACUCAGGGAAACUUGAGCUAAUACCGGAUACGCCCUUUUGGGGAAAGGCUUGCUGCCGGAGGAUCGGCCCGCGUCUGAUUAGCUAGUUGGUGCGGUAACGGCUCACCAAGGCGACGAUCAGUAGCUGGUCUGAGAGGAUGAUCAGCCACACUGGGACUGAGACACGGCCCAGACUCCUACGGGAGGCAGCAGUGGGGAAUAUUGGACAAUGGGCGCAAGCCUGAUCCAGCCAUGCCGCGUGAGUGAUGAAGGCCUUAGGGUUGUAAAGCUCUUUUAUCCGGGACGAUAAUGACGGUACCGGAGGAAUAAGCCCCGGCUAACUUCGUG
rnacentral:rRNA from 1 species